AUUACUUGUAACUAAUGUCACUACUGAAGGAACAAUAUCACCUCCAAAAUGAAGUUAAACAUCAAGUUUUCAUCAACAUAAAAAAUAUGUUUUUUUACAUCCUCAACCUCUUUAAAUAGAUGACCCGAUAUGAGUUUGUUUAUUAACAGGGUAAUAAUAAAUUUAAUUUAGGUGAAAAUUGUAGUAAGUGAUAAUCAUGAACAAGUCAUGCUUUCAGUUUUUCUUCAUUUUGCUUAUUCUCCUCGCUUCUCAGAUGGUGGUACAAACUGAGGGAAGGAGGUAUCAGAGGUCAAAGGGACAGAGAUUUUGCAUAAGCCACCACCAUUGCUCUCAUAUUUGUCAAUCUGAAGGCUUUGAAUGCGGUCAAUGUGGAAGUUCUCGAAGAGGUUGCUCUUGCAGCAAACGUUGUUAAUAGUGAGUAGGGAUCCUCUCCAUUUCUUAAAGGAAAUGGAAAAUACAAUUACUAGCUUAGUAUACUAAUAUACUAUUGUUGUUAAUUAAUUAAUGUAACAUUGCAAUCAUAUGUUACUUUAAUUUAAUUUUGCUUAAGCGCUUGAGGUUAGCUUUGAGCUAGAGUUCAAUUAAUUAUCUAAUGUUACUUAUUUUGUUAUGCUUUCAUGAUGUAUUUGACAUCAAAAAUUAGUGAAACUGAGUCAUUUUCAUUUUGUAUUA